GCCCUGAGAGCCUACAGAUCUUGGACACGUGGAAGGAAGAUCAGUCGGUCCUGGCCCCAGCGUCUCCAGCGGUGCCUGCACAAGAGAAGGGCCCCUGCUGAGGACGGACCCGAAGAAACCUUUCGCGACGACCCCAGUGCCGCUCCCUUGGCCCGAAGCACAAGGCAAGCGCCCCCGCCCUCAGGGAGGCCCCCCCCGCCCCCCCUGCCGAGCACCCCUGCCCGCCUUGGGCAAGGGCGCCAGACCAGACACGCACUGCGGCUGCUCCCCGAGGCCAGCAGCUGUCGCCCUGCCCGCCAGCACACCCACAGAAGUCUUGGCCAGUCACGACAGCAGAGUGCACACAGUCCACACAGAGGACACCCCUGGAGUGACCAGUUCUGGUGAGCAGGGGGGUCUGCAUUCCUGGGCCUCACAGGAUGCCUUCUACACAGGCCACCACUUUUAAGACCAGGAGAUGUAGCCGGCCUAUCUCAGACACAGAAACAAAUCCAGAGGCAGACUACAUGAAACAGAAGCAGUCUGCCUGAUGAAGAAGUCAAAGUAAUGGUCAUAAAGAUGCUCAAUGGAUCUAAGAGAAGAGUGGGUGAACUUAGAACUCCAAGAAGCAGAGAACAGAAAAAAGAAUCAAUCAAAGCUGAAGAAUAAAAUAAAGGAGCUGAAAAACACACGCGAGAGAAUCAACAGCAGAUUAAAGGAUGCAGGAGAACAGGUGCAUGAUCUGGAAGACAGGGUAGUGGAAAUCAUCCAAAUUUAACAGCCCAAUAAAUAAAUAAAUAAAUAGAGAGAGAGAGAGAGAGAGAGAGAGAGAGAAUAUGAGGAUAGGUUAGGAGACCUCUGGGGCAACAAGUGCACUGAUAUUCGUAUUUUAAGUGUCCUUGGAGGAGAAGAGAGAGAGAAAGGGCCAGAAAACUUACUUGAAGAAAUAAUAUCUGAAAACUUCCCUAACCUGAGGAAGGAGGCUGCCUGGUCCAGUAAGCACAGAGAGCUCCAAACAAGAUGAACCCAAGGAUGUCCACAUAAAAAUUAAAAUGUCAAAAAAUUUAAGAUAAAGAGAGUCUGUUUAUUAGAAACAGUAAGAGAAAGGCAACUAGUUAUGUAUAAGGAAAGUUGAGGCUAUAAGCUGAGUUUUCAGCAGGAACUUUGCCAGAAGGGAGAGGCAUAAUAUAUUCAAAGUAGUGAGAGGGAAAAAAAAUCUACAACCAAGAAUACUCAGCAAGGAUAUCAUUCAGAAUUGGGGGAAAUAUAAAGAGUUGCCCAGGCCACCAGAAGUCAGAGGAGUAUAUCACCACUGAAGUGGCCUCACAAUGAAUCUUAAAGGAACUUCUUUAAGUAGAAAAGGCCAUAACUUGAAGUAAGAAAAUUAUGAAAGGGAAAAGUUUAAUCCAAGCAUGGCAUCAAAGAAUGUCAUCUAAUUACAAAAAAAGCAAAAGAACUAUGAAAAGAAAUACCAAACAAAACAAAACACCAAAAAGCAGAAACAGUUUAAAAAAUGGCAAUAAGUAUAUAACUUUAAAUAUAAACAGACUAAAUGCUCCAAAGACAUAAGGUUACUGAAUGGAUGAAAAAAAGGUAAGACUUACCUAUAUGCUGCCUAUGAGAGACUGACUUCAGAUCUACAGACACAUACAGAUGUGAAGGGACAGAAAAAGACAGUCCAUACAAAUGCAAAAAAAAAAAAAAAAAAAAAAAAAGCUGAUGUAGCAAUAUUUAAACAGACACGGGCUAACCGGGUGAUGGCCGUUAGGGACGGCCCUGAUGUCCUGAGCACUGGGUGGGGUAUGGACUGCUGAAUUACUAAAUUCUACCUCUGAAACUGAUAAUAGAUGUUAACUGAGUUUAAGUUAAAACAACUUAAAAACCCAGACUUUAAAGCCAAGGCUGGAACAAGAGACACUUGCUUGUCUUCGAAAUGCUCAAAGACACUGAGCAUUGCUCAUCAUCAGGGAACUAUGUAUCAAAACCCCUAGAGACCACUUUGUACCAGUCAGCAUGGCCUGUAUCAAAGACAAGACGUAACAAGCGUUGGCAAGACUGUGGAGAAAAGGGAAUUCUCCUUUUGCACUGCCGGUGGGAAUGCAAACUGGUGCGGCCACUGUGGAAAGCAGUCGGGGGCUCCUCAGAAAGCGACAACUAGAGCGACGGUGGGAUCCGGCAAUUCCACUUCUGGGUAUUUAUUUGAAGAAUGCAAAAACAUUAAUUCAAAAAGAUAAAUGCACCGCAGUGGUGACCGCAGCGUCACUUCCACGAGCCAAGCUACGGGGGCAGCCCCAGUGUCCGCCGACAGACGAAGGGCUGAAGGUGGCAUGCUGCACACACUCCCUCACACGGAGGAGUAUUACUCUGCGGUAAUAAAGAGUCUCUUUCCCCUCUGUGACAGUAGGGAUGGACUGAGAGGGAACUUCGCUAAGAGAAGUCAGUCAGAAAAACACAAAUACCGGCUGAGUUCGCUGACUCGUGGAAUCUAAAAAGCACAACAAACGAACAGAACGGACACCGACUCAAAACCACAAACACUGGUGUUGUGGGAGGGGGCGGGUGAAAGAGAAGGGGAUGAAGGGUACAAAUGUCCGGUUCCCGAAUACAGCACAGCGACGGUCAGUGACCUCGGAGUGACUCUGUGGUGACAGAUGGGAACCACACUUACACUGCUGAGCGUUCUAUAACGUCUAUAAACGUCGAUCCCUGUGUCGUACGCCUGAAACCAAUGUAAUAUUGAAUGUUGCCCCUACUUCAAUUAAAAAAAACAGCAUUUAAAGUGCAAACAAGGCUCCUGGCUCUGAAAUUUGUGUUUCUGUUGCGGCAAGUAUGUCUUCAACAAAGGACCCGUGUGUGGGUGACUGCCCAGAUGCAAGCCCGUGGAUGUGGCCGCUG